GGGACUCAUUUAAAUGAGCAUACGUAGUGCCCGCGUCCCCUUCUGACCUUCUUACGGAGCGGCCCCAAAAAUGGGCGGACUACCUACCACAGCGCUAUACAACGAUUUCUUCUCUCCUCUCUCUCUGCUUCACGACUCUCUCUGCUUCGCGAUUCUCUCUUUGCUUCGACUCAUCAACUGCUACAGGAUUCGGUGUCUGGGUAGCUUGAUCUACUAUGAAUUGGUCAGUUUCAUCGCUGGGUCUUCUUCUUCAUUUUUUUUUAUGAGGGGUUGCCGGGUUGAUCUCUAUUCCUGUGAAUAUUCGAUAUGGAUCGAUUUUCAUUUAUUGGAUACAAAAUAUUGGCAUGAAGCAUUGAAGCUCUUUCACCAAAGCAGUACAUUAGUGUGAAAGGCUUCCAGAGUUCCAGAUCGUGUUUCAUUGUUUUGGACCUGUCAGCAAGUUUGUGUUAUUAAUCAUAUGCAUGGUCAUUCUGUACUGAUUGCAAAUGCUUACAAGUUUUUAUAAAGCUCAUUUACACCAAUCAUACUAGCUCUAUGGAUGAGUGAUGACUAUUGGAUUUUAUGAAACUCAUCGACUUUGAGAAAUUAGACCUCGUUGAGGAUGAAUCCGAUUUGAUUAGCCUUGGUUGUGAAGCUGUGGAAUCUCUUGGAACUGAUUCAUUAGUCUAUGCAUCUUUUUCAUGCUUGCAGCAGCCCGCAGUUGAAGUCAAGAGUGAUUGAAUGUAGUGAGGCUUGUAAGCCUGGGAAGUGGUUGAAAUGCAGUGACUUCAAUGAGAGUAUAGUGACAGAUAUAGGUCUUAUUGGUUUACAGGUUGAUAGCUUCUACCAAGGGAGUUCUAAAUGGUAUGAUUCUACUUGUGGAUUAUACCGGCAGUGCAUUCAAGCAUGGGGAGAUUGUUUAGUCUCUGGACAAGUUGGUUUAGUCCUUUUGACAUAGUUAUGUGUGUAUAUCAUCCAUUCCCCAAGUUAGAAGUGGGUUGUUCAUCUUGUAUACAAAAAUUGAGGCCUCUCACUUGCUUUAGGCUCCUUCACUGUGUGUUAUUAUGUAAAGUUUCACCAAUUGCGCUUUAAUGCACAUACAUUUUCCUUAACUAUUUGUUAAUCAUUUUCUGGGCAUUCAGGAUAUUCAGAAUCUUUUUGUCAAUUGUAAUGCAUAUUGGCUACUCUCAAUGUAAUUAUUUUGCCGACUUCUAUUCAUAUGAAAACUUUGGUUUUUGCAC